UUCGAUUUCACCAACAGAUUACAGAAUUGUUGCAGAAGUCGCACAAAGAGCUCACUUUUACUAUUAUCGGAAAGAAAACUAAAAUUAGAGUCAGAACUGGGAAAUAACCUCGUAAAAGCUCACCUCCCGAAGUCUGCUGGGAGCAUUGUACUGGAAAAGAUCUGACAAGAGAGAUGAAGCUGUCAGCACAACUUCGACCUCUCUGGAAGCCAUAUUGAACAUGUGGAAUGAUGUUGUUCGCCUCUACAUAACAUUCAAGACGCAUCUUUAUCAUGUUUUCAUUAAGCUUUGAAAGAUGAAGCACAAGAUGACAAUGAUAUGGGACGAUAUGAGUUAGGAUCUUCAGGUGGCUUAUCAAGCUUAAGUAUAGGGAUUACACACUGUGCUUUCCAAGAUUUAGGAUGGUUGAACUUGAAGCAACGGAAGCAUUGCUGCAACGGCGGGAUAUAUUCAAACACCCUGAACGAAGAAAGAUCAUAUUGGAUGUUAUCAGGCAGAACAUUUGACAAGACAGUAUAUAGACAGUAAUAAUCUCGAGACCUACAGUACUUUGACCGACUUUUUUCGUAAAUUUUCUCACUGAAAUAAUUUCAUAUAUCGAAGACAGCGUUGUAUAUAAAUCCUUGUUCGAAAUGUUUGUGGGCACAUAUUGGAUGAUUCCAGUUUUUUCUAUUUAGGAAGGCAGGAAUAUGCGCCUUCAAGUUGUGCUUUGUCAAAAAGUCUGUACUUGUGAUGAAAUUAUUUGCAGUGUUGUAUUGUUUAAAAACAACCGCAAUUUUGUUGGCAUUAACUCUAUGUGAAGCUAACACACCUUUCACCUCUGAAGUCAAAAUAUAAUUUAAGUAAACUGGGCUUUUAUUUCGAAGUUUAACCUGUUGGUCCUGAAUUUCAACAAAAACUUUGAAGUCCGUAUUUGUACUAUGCUCCGGAUAAAGCCUCAGAUAACGCGAUAAAAGGCUUAAAAAACGGAAUAAAGUCAACCUCACCGCCGCCUACUUCAGGUCCAGAACUUCGCACCUCUUUUACGAACAAUUUUGGAUCGUUUCGAGGUUCCACCUGGGUCCUCUGGUUCAUUUAUUUUAAUAAUUAACAAAAUGUACAAUUAUUUACACUGACUAAAAUAAGUUUUGGUAAUAAUUACACAGAAUAUUUUAACAAUAAAAAUAAUUAAAUCGACCGCCACGUUUGGAGUUCCCGCCAAGUGUUUUAAAAUAUAUGAUUUGAAAGCUCCGUAGACUGGUCACAUACUGGAGGACAUCAACGCCAUAGUAUUGAAGCUUUCCAACCAUAUAUAGCAUUAUAUUAAGAUGAACACAGACAAAGGCCUUUGACAGGUCACAAAAAACGCCAACUCCAUCAUAUGAUUCUUCCCAGGCGUUAAAUAUAUCCGAAACCAACUUCACACCGGCAUCGGUUGUGGAGUGACCCUUACUAAAACCAUCCUGUUUAUUAUGUAAGAGUUUAUUUUUAUUAAGAUGUAAGGAAAGUUGGUCUAGCAUUAUCUUUUCAAAGACUGCUGCAGUGGGCCCCACACAUCGAGACUCUUUCGAAUAGGCUGACCUCUGCAGCAUAUGCAGUAAAGAAAAUCCGAAAGUUUACUGAUAAGGACACGGCUAAAAUUGUGUACCAUAGCUACUUCUGA